rnacentral:misc_RNA from 1 species
GGACGCACUUAAUUGGGAUCUCCACUUAAUUCCUGUGUGUGAUGUAUCAAAAUCUAUAAUUGAUUUCUCCAAAUAAUUCACAAUUCUCACUCUCUUAUCACUCUCAUUCGAAAAGCUAGAUCUGCCUUGAAGAGCUGAAAAUGGCGACUGCAAAUGGAGCACACUUGUUCAAUCAUUGCGGCUCCAAUUCCAGAUUCAUCCAUUUUACUUCUAGAAACACAACCUCCAAAUUGUUCCUUACCAAAACCUCCCAUUUUCGGACACCCAAACGUUCUUUCCAUGUCAACAACAUCUUGACUGACAAAAUUCACCAUCCCAUUACUGAACAAGGUGGUGAGAGCGAUCUGAGUUGUUUUUCUCCUGAUGCCGCAUCUAUUACCUCAAGUAUCAAAUACCAUGCAG